rnacentral:rRNA from 1 species
CCUACGGGGGGCAGCAGUGGGGAAUAUUGGACAAUGGGGGGAACCCUGAUCCAGCCAUGCCGCGUGUGUGAAGAAGGCUCUCGGGUUGUAAAGCACUUUCAGUGAGGAAGAACGCCUGGUGGUUAAUACCCAUCAGGAAAGACAUCACUCACAGAAGAAGCACCGGCUAACUCCGUGCCAGCAGCCGCGGUAAUACGGAGGGUGCGAGCGUUAAUCGGAAUUACUGGGCGUAAAGCGCGCGUAGGUGGCUUGAUAAGCCGGUUGUGAAAGCCCCGGGCUCAACCUGGGAACGGCAUACGGAACUGUCAAGCUAGAGUGCAGGAGAGGAAGGUAGAAUUCCCGGUGUAGCGGUGAAAUGCGUAGAGAUCGGGAGGAAUACCAGUGGCGAAGGCGGCCUUCUGGACUGACACUGACACUGAGGUGCGAAAGCGUGGGUAGCAAACAGGAUUAGAUACCCGUGUAGUC